CCUACGGGGGGCAGCAGUGGGGAAUAUUGCACAAUGGGGGGAACCCUGAUGCAGCGACGCCGCGUGAGUGAAGAAGUAUUUCGGUAUGUAAAGCUCUAUCAGCAGGGAAGAAAAUGACGGUACCUGACUAAGAAGCCCCGGCUAACUACGUGCCAGCAGCCGCGGUAAUACGUAGGGGGCAAGUGUUAUCCGGAUUUACUGGGUGUAAAGGGAGCGCAGACGGCUGUGCAAGUCUGGAGUGAAAGGGGGGGGCCCAACCCCCGGACUGCUCUUGAAACUGGAAAGCUGGAGUGCAGGAGAGGUAAGCGGAAUUCGUGGUGUAGCGGUGAAAUGCGUAGAUAUUAGGAGGAACACCAGUGGCGAAGGCAGCUUACUGGACUGCAACUGACGUUGAGGCUCGAAAGCGUGGGGAGCAAACAGGAUUAGAUACCCGUGUAGUC
rnacentral:rRNA from 1 species